UUAUCUGAUAUUUGCCAUGACAGAGAUUACUUGAUAUUAUUCAAAACUUAAUUUCUUAAAAGUACAUAUUUUCAUAACAUCGUUAAGAAAGUUUCCCAAAACUGUGCCCAAAAAAUGAUCUAUUUAGAUAUCAAUUGGAUUAAAGGGUA